GACGUAGGGCGCGAGCGUUGUCCGGAUUUAUUGGGCGUAAAGAGCUCGUAGGCGGCUCGUUGCGUCAAUCGUGAAAACUCAGGGCUUAACUCUGAGCUUGCGGUUGAUACGGGCGGGCUAGAGUUCGGUAGGGGAGUCUGGAAUUCCUGGUGUAGCGGUGAAAUGCGCAGAUAUCAGGAGGAACACCGAUGGCGAAGGCAGGACUCUGGGCCGAUACUGACGCUGAGGAGCGAAAGCGUGGGGAGCAAACAGGAUUAGAUACCCUGGUAGUCCACGCUGUAAACGUUGGGCGCUAGGUGUGGGGGGCCUCUCCGGUUCCCUGUGCCGCAGCUAACGCAUUAAGCGCCCCGCCUGGGGAGUACGGCCGCAAGGCUAAA
rnacentral:rRNA from 1 species